GCUAAAUCUACCCAAGACACUGGCUGUCAGACUGAUUUAGCUGCAUGAAUGUACUUGUCCAGGCUGAUGUGAAACCUUCCCUGUAGCAAAGCCAGCCAGAAUGGAGUUCACAGCCGCAGUGUGUCUGGUGACCCACGGGGACCAUGAUGAAAAUUCAUCUUCCAGAAGGUCCCAGAGCGUCCACACCCCUGAAAAGACCAAGGUGUGAGGUGUCUGCUGUUGAUUCCAGCUUCCACCUCAGUGACAGUGCAAGCUCAGUGAACUGUUCAAGGACAUUCAGCAAAAUAUGGACUCUACACCAUGAGGCAUGCACACAUUAAUAUUCUAUAAGAGCACAUAAGGUGAGCAACACCACAUAUUGUACACUGUCCUGAAUUUGUUUUCUUUCUGCAUCUCAUUAGCCUGGCUGAUCACCUGAUAACUCCUGUCAUCUGGUUAUGACAGCAUGAGGAUGUCCUCACACACCUGUAACCUAUCAGCUCAUCUGGCAGAAUAGAGAGAGAAGAGACAACACCACAUCUCCUGUUCCUGGAAAGCCUUCAGCCUUCCUUCGAUGACUGAGAACCUCCAUCAGCUCUGUCUCCUGUCUGCCUACAAUUAUUAUAAUAAAUAUUGUGUUUGACAA